rnacentral:tRNA from 1 species
GGAUAUGUGGUAAUGCGUCAAAACCCGACAUAGCUGACUUUUAAUCAGUAGGUCUCCGGUUCGAACCCGGACGGGCUCACCA